AUGUCUAGACAUACCGCGCUGAAUGCACCCAAUCUUGCCUGAUCUUGGAAGCUAAGCAGGGUUGGGCCUGGUUAGUACUUGAAUGGGAAAAAAGAAAAAAAUACACACAGCCAGCCAAGAACACUGUACGUA
rnacentral:rRNA from 1 species